CCUACGGGAGGCAGCAGUGGGGAAUUUUGGACAAUGGGCGCAAGCCUGAUCCAGCAAUGCCGCGUGAGUGAAGAAGGCCUUCGGGUUGUAAAGCUCUUUUGUCAGGGAAGAAACGGUGGAGGUUAAUACCUUCUGCUAAUGACGGUACCUGAAGAAUAAGCACCGGCUAACUACGUGCCAGCAGCCGCGGUAAUACGUAGGGUGCAAGCGUUAAUCGGAAUUACUGGGCGUAAAGCGUGCGCAGGCGGUUGUGCAAGACAGAUGUGAAAUCCCCGGGCUCAACCUGGGAAUUGCAUUUGUGACUGUACGGCUAGAGUGUGUCAGAGGGGGGUAGAAUUCCACGUGUAGCAGUGAAAUGCGUAGAGAUGUGGAGGAAUACCGAUGGCGAAGGCAGCCCCCUGGGAUAACACUGACGCUCAUGCACGAAAGCGUGGGGAGCAAACAGGAUUAGAUACCCUGGUAGUCCACGCCCUAAACGAUGUCUACUAGUUGUCGGGUCUUUAUUGACUUGGUAACGCAGCUAACGCGUGAAGUAGACCGCCUGGGGUAAGGUACGGUCGUUCGAGAAGUUAAACGUUAACGAAGGAAGUUAGACGGCGUUGAGACGNGCCGACGGACGACGACGAGGGAGGAGG
rnacentral:rRNA from 1 species